rnacentral:lncRNA from 1 species
CUCCUUGGAGGCGUGACGGAAUGAUAGCUUUUUAAGGGAUGGCAGAGGGACUGGAGAGCUUACUUAAUUCUAUCUCUCUUCAUUUUACACAGAAGAAAACUGAGGCCCGUUAUAGGGGCAUGAUUUGCUCAAGGUCUCAGAACUGGUUGUUGGAAGAACCAGAAAUAGAAACCAGGUUUACUCAUUUUCAGCCUCGUGUUCUCCACCCCUCAUCCACCCCGAUUGUUGUUUAUAAGCAGUCGCUGUAUCACACCCAGCAGCAGUGAUGAGCUCAUACCCUUCCCUGGGCUGGCCCAAGGACACAAGCGGGCACAGGGCUGAGGAGCUUUUGUUACCCAGCACAGCGGUGGGGGCUGCUCAUGGUGUGCAGAGUGACUCCAACAACGAGGAAAGUGACCGGGGGAGCUGCCUGUCCUGAGCACAGGAACCGCAUCGGAGGGAACCCAAGCUAAGCCAGGAGUGUCUGUUCUAACACGUGCCAUUUGGGAUCCCUUGGAAUCUUCAUGUACAGAACUGGUUGCUGCCUCGUUGAGUCGGUGGGGACAGAAUAGCUCCUGGUUGACAGCAUGGGUUGUGCAGAAGGACGGAUCCUGCAGACAUCAAUAUCUGGCUUUGAGUGGCACAAAGAAAUAAAGGAAUGUGGAUUCAGACCUCACUGGGAUGCUUGGCAAUUCUAAUUCUACCCCAGACUGCAAAUGGACACACAACUGUUGUGACUUUUGUUGAAGAGGAGAAGGAUGGCACAGAAGCUGGAUUCAGAAGCACACAGGUCUGGGGAUGCAGGCUUCGGCCAGCCUGAUGCAAGGAAAGACUGCCAUCUCGUGGUCAGCUCAAUCCUGGCACCUUGGUGAGGGACCAGGCUGCAGAAAACCAGGCUUGGGGAGGAAACGGUGCUGCAAACUGGAUUUCUGCCGGACAGUGUGGAUGCCCUUAGAAAACACCCAGAAAAGAGCUGAGUGCCCCCCAAGGUAGGCUUCAGUGAAUCCUCUGCAGGUGUGUUGUCAUCCCUUGAGCCAAACACAUGCUUCACACACACGCUGCAGGCUGCGUGAAAAUGAGGUAGAAAUGUGGGGAAAACAUAAUCCCAUGGAGAGAACAAAGAGCUGAACACGUAAAUGCCUCCGGCGUGCCUGGCAGAGAGAACACUCAGGCUGAGAGAAGGGACAGUGACUUGUACCAAAGGUAGGCAAGUAGCCUCUGGGGUCUCAAUCAGCAGGGCAUCUGGUCAACCCUUCAGACAAAGUCAGGUCUGAGCAGGCAAGAUCCAUGGAUCUGAUUUAUUAAUAUUUUUACAAUUAAAUAGAAUCUGAUUGUAAAACUGUUACAUGUGUUGUAAGAAAAAAAGAAAAAAAGGAAGGAUAUAGAAAUGUACAAAGAAGGAAAUAAAAGACUGGAAGCGUCCUCACCUUAGGGACCCAUUAUUAACGCUUAGGUGGCCAAUCUUCCAGACAUCUUGCUACGAAUAUAUUCAAACGGGAAUUAAAAAUGUACUUUUACACAAGUGCAAUCAGACCUUGUACUCCUCUAUCCCAUAACCUACUUUUUCAUUCAACACUAUGACAGAAGCGUCUUUCCAGGUCCAUAAAUAAAGGUAGGCCUCAUCGUUUUUUAUCAAUUACAUAAAGCUAAUGGUAUAUAAUACUGAUUUCAUACCUGCUAUAUGCCAGGCACAUACAUGGUCUUGCAUAAUCUCAUAAUGACUCUACAGAACGGGAGUUUGUAUUAUGCCCAUUAAGCAGAUGAACAGGCUGUGGCACAAGAAAAUUGAUCAGCACUGCCAGGGUAUCUGACCUCAGAGCCCAGGAUCUUGACUAGUAGGCUAGAAAUGAACAUAAUUUACUUACCAGUUUUCCAGUGAUGGACAUUAAGCCAUUUCCUACUUUUCUGGUAUAAAAAAUAAGAUUGCAGUGAAACUUUAGGGCAUAUACAUCUUUGCACGUUAGUGAGUUCUCUCUAAGUUAACCUGAAAGCGGUGGGCUGUGGAGUUUGUGGGUCAAAGUGUAUGCUCGAUUUAUGCUUUACUAUGUGCCCGACUUCCCUCCAGGCAGCAUGUGCCAGCUCACACUCCCAACAGCUGCGCAGGAGAAUUUCCAGUGCCCCACGACCUUGUCAAUACUAGGCUUCCUCAUCAGUUUUUUCUCUCCUUUAUUUUUCUUUAGGAAAAAAAAAACAGCCUUUGAAAAAAAUUGUACGAACAAGUGCAAUGUGUGCUUGUAAGUGCUUCACCAAAUGUAGAUCCACCCGGUGUUAACCUUUUGCCACAUCUGCUCUCUAUUAGUUUUUAUCACACUUUGGAAUUAUCUAUAGACAUCAUAACACUUGAUGCCUAAAUGCUUUGGUGUGUGUCUCUUAAGAACAAAGACACACCCUUACCUAAGCAUAAUAUAAUUGGUACACUUGGGAAUUGCUAAAAUACAUUGCUAAAAUACAGUUUUCUAAUACAGAAUCUAUAUCAAGUCAUUGAAUAAACACACUUCUUGACUUAAAAUGAGAUUACAUCCCAUAAACCCAUAAUAAGUUGAAAAAAUGUAAGUAAAAAUGCAUUUAAUACACUAAAUCUGCUGAAUAUUAUAACAAUUUUGCCUACAUUAAAUGUGCUCAGAACACUUACAUUAGCCUACGGUUGGAAAAAAUUAUCCAACACAAAGCCUAUUUUAUAAUAAAGUGUUAGAUAUCACAUGUAAUGUAUGGAAUACUGUACUGAAAGUGAAAAACAGAAUGGUUUUAUGGGUUCUCACAAUACGGUUUCCACUGAAUGCCUAUCACUUUUGCACCAUUGUAAAACUGAAGAAUUGUAAGUUGAACAAUUGUAAGUUGGGGACUGUCUGUACUUAACAGAUUUUUGUCUUGAUCCAGAAUGGAAUCAAGGGUCACAUAUUGAGUUUCGCAGUCAUGUCUCUUGAAUCCAGAACAGAUCUCCAGUCUUUUUGUGGUCUCUCAUGACAUUGGCAUUUUGAAGAGUUUUAUAGAGUGUACUUAGACCUGGAUUUACCUGAUUGAGCCUCAGGAUUAGAUUUAGCAUAAAUAUUGUUGGCAGGCAUAUUAUAUAGAUGCUGUUGCUUCCUUCUCAGGGCGUCAUAUCAGGAGGAACAACAAGAUGUCAAUUUGUCCACAAUUUGUGACAUUAACUUUGAUCACUCAGUUAAGUGAGUGUCUGCUAUAUUUCUCCAUUGGAAAUGUACCCUGAUCUUUUGUGAUUAUUAAGUGACCUACUGGGUGAUACUUUGAGACAGAAUAUCGUGCUUCCCAGCAAUCUCUUACCCAGUGAUUUUAGUAUCUAUUGAUCAUUCUUGCCUGGAUCAGUUGCUGUUUUGCCGGCUAUAAAGUGCUCUUUCAUUUCCCAUUCUUUCUACUUUUAAAAAAAGUUAUCACUCUUCUAUAAAGAAAAACUUCUUAUCCUAUCCCUCAACUUUUUUAGUAUCAGAUUGUACUCAAGGCUUCUUUCUCUAUCCAGUGUAUUUCUGUAACUAUCCAUUUUGACAGCCAGAUCAUCCCAAAUUUGGCAAGUGGCAGCCCCUUCAAGCUGGACCUGUGUCCUCUGAGCCCCUCUCUGCUCUCUGGCACGAGAUGCUCCAGGCUCAUCUUGCAUUUUCCUUGCCUCAGGCCUGGCAUCAGCCAUUUCUCCAGGAGCCCUCCCAUCUUUGUUUAUAUAUUUAUUAAUAUUUAAUCUCUCUUAUUAUUAUUAGUUUUAAAAUUUAUAUAAAAUAAAGUUGGCGUUUUUUGUGUAGUUGUAGGAAUCUUAAUAUAGGUAUAGGUUUGUGAAGCCACCACUGUAAUUGAGAUACAGAACAACUCCAAAUCAUCAAGUUACACACCUUAAAUAUAUACAAUUUUUAAUUGUCAGCUAUACCUCAGUAAAACUGGGGAGAAAAUAUACAGUUUCAUGCCCAGAAGCUACUUUGUGCUUCCUGUUUGUGGUCAAACACAUCCUUCAUCCCUGACAGCUGCUGACCUUAUCUCUGUCUUCAUAGUUUUACCUCUUCUAGAAUGUUACAAGAAUGAGAUCGCACAAUAUGCAGCCUUUUGAGUCUGGCUUCUACUUUCACUUAGCAUAAUGCCUUUGAGAUUCAGCUGUUGCAUGCAUCAAUAAUUCGUUCCUUUUUAUUGCUGAGUGGUAGAUAUUCCAUCAUGUGGAUGAACCACGGUUUGCUUAUCCAUUUACCCAUUAAGACAAAUGGGUUGUGUCCAGUUUUUGUUGAUUAAGAAUAGAGCUGCAUAAACAUUUAUGUAUAGGGUUUUCUUGCAUGAACGUAAGUUUUCAUUUCUCUUGGGUAGGUGCCUCGGAGUGGGAUUGCUGAGUCACACAGUAAGUGUAUGUUUCACUUUUUAAAAGCUGUCAAGCCUCUUCCAGAGCAGCCAAGCCAGUCUGCGUUUCCACCAGCAAUUUCUGAGAGUUCCAGUUGCUCUGCGUCCUUGCCAGUGCUUGGUAUUGCCAGGUUUUUUAUUUUUUAACCCAUUCUAAAAUAUGUUUAGUGCCCCCCAUUUUUUUUAUCUUUGUAAAUGUUAUAGGUGAAUUUUAAAAGUCAAUCUCAAUAUAUAUUGGCUGUUAAUAAUACUAUUAAUACCUAUUACUGUUAAUAAUGCUAAUAAGUAACUAUCAAAUCUCAUAGAUGAAAAAGAUGAUUUAUGAUCUUUAAAAUUUUGCAUUUUUAUUAUUAGGAAAGUCAGAAGGGCUCAAUUUUAAACAGAGAGAGAAGCGGAUAGAGAAGUGUGUUCUUGCCUGAAGGUGUCUUUCAUCUUGGGCUGCCUCUAUCUAUUUCUGGGAUCACUGGCGGCCCUUGUACUCCUAUCCUCAG